AGAGCGGCUUCAGGGAGUGGACGCUGCCGCGCUGCUGGUGAAGAAGAGCUGAGCGAGCGCCGAGUGACGAGUUGUGGAAGAGCUGGGCCAGCCGCAGAGCAGAGCUGAACCCUUACCAUGGCUGCCUCAUCAGAUAUGACGCCGCUGGAUCAACACAUCGAGCCGUUCGACCCUGACUCGAGCUCGUGGGCAGAGUGGGAGGAACGCCUGGAACUGUUCUUCGAGUACAGUGGCAUCACUGACGAGAGGAAGAAAAAAGUCGCAUUCCUAACGGCAUGUGGCAGAAAGGCAUACGCUGUUCUUCGCUGUCUGAUUGCACCUCAGAAGCCGAUGGACGUACCUCUUGCAGAGUUGCUUCUGGUUAUGCAAUGUCAGGAGGAUUCCACCCUUUCAGUCACCAACAGCCGGCGCAAGUUCGGCUCGUGUGUCCGUCGCGCUGGCCAACAAGUCGCUGACUACGCUGCUGUUCUCCGCCAAAAUGCUGGCGACUGCUGUUUUGGAGAUACCCUCGGGGACAGGUUGCUGGAACAGCUCAUUUUCGGAAUAGCAGAUGAUCAAAUGCAGAGAAGACUGCUGUCUGAGAAGAAUCUAAGUUUCAGCAGCGCCGUUGCCAUUUGCCGCACUAUGGAGGCGUCGAACUCAGAUGACCAAGUGACGAUCAGUGACCAUUCAUCCGAGAUCGCAACUUGGCCAGACUCGGAGAGCACCAACUGGACAUGUGAUGAGGGCGAGAUGGGGAUGGAGGGCCUGUCAGCCGAGCUGGACGCCUCGAGGAAGGCGUGUGCCAACUACAGUACUGAGUUACUCUGGGUGAAGGCUGCAUAUGAGGAGUCACAGCAGCAGCUCAACUGCAUCCGCCGCGAGAACAUGGUCCUGU